GAUGAACGCUGGCGGCGUGCCUAAUACAUGCAAGUCGAGUGAACGGACGAGAAGCUUGCUUCUCUGAUGUUAGCGGCGGACGGGUGAGUAACACGUGGAUAACCUACCUAUAAGACUGGGAUAACUUCGGGAAACCGUAGCUAAUACCGGAUAAUAUUUUGAACCGCAUGGUUCAAAAGUGAAAGACGGUCUUGCUGUCACUUAUAGAUGGAUCCGCGCUGCAUUAGCUAGUUGGUAAGGUAACGGCUUACCAAGGCAACGAUGCAUAGCCGACCUGAGAGGGUGAUCGGCCACACUGGAACUGAGACACGGUCCAGACUCCUACGGGAGGCAGCAGUAGGGAAUCUUCCGCAAAGGGCGAAAGCCUGACGGAGCAACGCCGCGUGAGUGAUGAAGGUCUUCGGAUCGUAAAACUCUGUUAUUAGGGAAGAACAUAUGUGUAAGUAACUGUGCACAUCUUGACGGUACCUAAUCAGAAAGCCACGGCUAACUACGUG
rnacentral:rRNA from 1 species